GCUGCAGCCCCCACAGACAACCAAGAUUGACGUGUACAGUUUUGGAAUAGUAAUGUGCGAAGUAGUAACCAGAACAUUUUCUGAAGACUGGCAAUUCUCUAGGCGUUUAAACAAUGUCUCAAGUCCACCCUCUCAUCACUUCCUGCGUCCGUGAUUCUCCUUACGAUAGACCCUCAACUCUGCGCAGUUAAGGCCUGGGUCAGGCACUGAUAAGAUUAAUUUUAUACAUUGCCAACAUUUUAUGUAGAUCAUGUAGAUCAUGUAGUGUUAAUGAGAUUCAUAAUGUUUAUUAAUGUUAUUCAUUGCAUGUGACGUCAUAAGGUCAAUGUAUUUGCUUAGCUAGCUGCUAGAACUAUUAUAGAUUAUCUUUGGCAACAAAUACGGCGGACUUAAACAAGGCAAACCAGAAAAACUUUACUGCACUGGAUUUGGUCAAGCGAAUGCAGAGAUACAGCGUUUUGAAGAACACUAGUCAGGGAAAAAUUCGUACAAAAAUUUACCGCAUUUUAAUGUACUUGGGCGGGACUUAUGAAAUUUGUUGUUAAUACCGGAAAUGAUCUUAAAGUUAGCAUAUCUGCUGAACCGCUUGGUCUAUUCUCUUUUAAAAAAGUAUGAAAUGGACACUCAGGACUCAGGAGUUAACAUUGUAACCAUUUGAUAUCUAUUAUGAAGUUUAUAAUGUUUCUGUAAUGUAUAUCUUUAUGAUGUCCCUAUAAUAGUAUGAUGUCUCCUGCUUCAGAGAGUUCUUUUGGAUUUAAAGUAACCAUGCUAUCUUUUCAGUAUAUUGUAUCAUGUUUCAGAACUCUCAUCAAUGUCCACCUUACGCUUGUAUCUGUUUCUUGAUCUUUAUAAGCAACUUUUCUGUCAAUUUCAUUUGGUCUAAAUAAUUCGUUUUUAGUGUGA